UCCGAACAUAAAUGAGUAAGACAGAUUGAUAGCUCUUUCUCGAAUCUAUGGGUGGUGGUGCAUGGCCGUUCUUAGUUCGUGGAGUGAUUUGUCUGGUUAAUUCCGAUAACGAACGAGACUCAAAUAUAUUAAAUAGAUGCUUACAGGAUUAUGGUGUUGAAACUUUAUAUAAUCUUCAAAUUUUUAAUUAUAUAUAGUCUUUUAAAGGAUUGUAUAUAUAUUUAUUAUUUGUAAGUAUUUAUAUAAAGUGGAGCCGUACCUGUUUGUUUGUCCCAUAAUUACGGACACUAGCUUCUUAAAUGGACAAAUUGCGUCUNGCAAUAANGAGAUUGAGCAAUAACAGGUCUGAAAUGCCCUUAGAUGUCCUGGGCUGCACGCGCGCUACAAUGAAAGUAUCAACGUGUAUUCCCUAGACUGAGAGGUCCGGGUAAACCGNUGAANCACUUUCAUGCUUGGGAUUGUGAACUGAAACUGUUCACAUGAACCUGGAAUUCCCAGUAAGUGCGAGUCA
rnacentral:rRNA from 1 species